rnacentral:rRNA from 1 species
CCUGAGAAACCCAAAAGAUCGAAUGGGGAGAUUCAUCGUCAGCGGCGUUGGCUUCCGUGUGAGUUAGCGAUGGGCCGAGACUUCGGUUUCGCGUCACGCUGCCUCUGCGGUAUGUCCGGCGUCGUCGGCGUGCACUUCUCCCCUAGUAGGACGUCGCGACCCGUUGGGUGUCGGCCUACGGUCCGAUCGGUCGACUGUCGCGUCGCGUUCACGCGCGCACCGCAACAGACCUUCGGUUGCCCGGCCGUCUGCCCGGCGGUAUAGAACGAUUCUGAACAAGGUAUCGGGCCGCACUUAAGUGCGUUCAGGCUCGUCGGCAGGCUCGCCACGCUCGGUUUACGGACCUAGCGCCGUUGUCGGGCGGUUGGCGUAGCCGUUAGUCAACGAUGUCCUCGGACUGGCUCUUACAUUCGAACGGAUAUACCAGUCGGCGACGCUACUGCUUUGGGUACUUUC